rnacentral:lncRNA from 1 species
UCGUUAUAAUUCAAAAUUUUAUUUAUUGAUGACCAUAAAAUUGCUCAUGUAUUAUAAGAAGAAAUUCAAAAAACCCUCCAACAUAAAAGUUAUUCAUCGCAUCGAAUCUCCAACAUUGUAUAGUAGAGUAGACGAUUUAUCAUCGUGCAUCGUUCAAGUUUCUCACACAAACAUAAAUAGAAGCUUCUAAAUUCAUAAGCAUACAAUAAGAUAAGAAAGACUAUUGUAAUUUCUGUCUCAUUUAUUGUCUAGAUUAGAUAAGUCGCUCCGUCCAGUGCCCAUAGUCGGGGCAUUUGCAAUUGAAAAAAGCUAGUACUCUUCCAUGCUUGCACUUCUCACAAAUAAAUGGG